rnacentral:rRNA from 1 species
GAUGAACGCUGGCGGUGUGCCUAAUACAUGCAAGUCGAGCGAACAGACGAGGAGCUUACUCCUCUGACGUUAGCGGCGGACGGGUGGGUAACACGUGGAUAACCUACCUAUAAGACUGGGAUAACUUCGGGAAACCGGAGCUAAUACCGGAUAACAUGUUGAACCGCAUGGUUCAACAGUGAAAGACGGUCUUGCUGUCACUUAUAGAUGGAUCCGCGUCGCAUUAGCUAGUUGGUAAGGUAACGGCUUACCAAGGCAACGAUGCGUAGCCGACCUGAGAGGGUGAUCGGCCACACUGGAACUGAGACACGGUCCAGACUCCUACGGGAGGCAGCAGUAGGGGAUCUUCCGCAAUGGGCGAAAGCCUGACGGAGCAACGCCGCGUGAGUGAAGAAGGUCUUCGGAUCGUAAAACUCUGUUAUUAGGGAAGAACAAAUGUGUAAGUAACUAUGCACGUCUUGACGGUACCAAAUCAGAAAGCCACGGCUAACUACGUG